GACAGAGGGUGCAAACGUUGUUCGGAAUUACUGGGCGUAAAGCGCGUGUAGGCGGCUCGGCAAGUCGGGCGUGAAAGCCCUGGGCUUAACCUAGGAAGUGCACUCGAAACUGCCAAGCUUGAGUUCUGGAGAGGAAGGCGGAAUUCUCGGUGUAGAGGUGAAAUUCGUAGAUAUCGAGAGGAACACCGGUGGCGAAGGCGGCCUUACUGGACAGCAACUGACGCUGAGACGCGAAGCGUGGGGAGCAAACAGG
rnacentral:rRNA from 1 species